ACUCCUACGGGAGGCAGCAGUGGGGAAUAUUGCACAAUGGGGGAAACCCUGAUGAGCCAUGCCCGCGUGUGUGAAGAAGGCCUUCGGGUUGUAAAGACACUUUCAGUAGGGAGGAAGGUAGUGUAGUUAACACCUGCACUAUUUGACGUUACCUACAGAAGAAGCACCGGCUAACUCCGUGCCAGCAGCCGCGGUAAUACGGAGGGUGCGAGCGUUAAUCGGAAUUACUGGGCGUAAAGCGCAUGCAGGCGGCCUGUUAAGUCAGAUGUGAAAGCCCGGGGCUUAACCUCGGAAUUGCAUUUGAAACUGGCAGGCUAGAGUCUUGUAGAGGGGGGUAGAAUUUCA
rnacentral:rRNA from 1 species